CCUACGGGCGGCAGCAGUGAGGAAUAUUGGUCAAUGGGCGGGAGCCUGAACCAGCCAAGCCGCGUGAGGGAAGAAGGUACAGCGUAUCGUAAACCUCUUUUGUCAGGGAACAAAGGCGGGGACUAGUCCCCGGAUGAGGGUACCUGAAGAAAAAGCAUCGGCUAACUCCGUGCCAGCAGCCGCGGUAAUACGGAGGAUGCGAGCGUUAUCCGGAUUUAUUGGGUUUAAAGGGUGUGCAGGCGGCCUGUUAAGUCAGUGGUAAAAGCCCGGGGCUCAACCCCGGCGAGCCGUUGAAACUGGCGAGCUGGAGUUGGAGAGAAGUACGCGGAAUGCGCGGUGUAGCGGUGAAAUGCUUAGAUAUCGGGCAGAACCCCGAAUGCGAAGGCAGCGUACCGGCUCCACACUGACGCUGAGGCACGAAAGCGUGGGUAGCGAACAGGAUUAGAUACCCUGGUAGUC
rnacentral:rRNA from 1 species